AUUACUUUGGCAGAAUAAUGUAUUAAAUUUAGAAUUUAAUUAUGAAUUUUUAUUCAAGUAAUA
rnacentral:tRNA from 1 species